rnacentral:rRNA from 1 species
ACGGGAGGCAGCAGUGAGGAAUAUUGGUCAAUGGACGAGAGUCUGAACCAGCCAAGUAGCGUGCAGGAUGACGGCCCUAUGGGUUGUAAACUGCUUUUGUACGGGAAUAAAGUGACCUACGUGUAGGUUUUUGCAUGUACCGUAAGAAUAAGGACCGGCUAAUUCCGUGCCAGCAGCCGCGGUAAUACGGAAGGUCCGGGCGUUAUCCGGAUUUAUUGGGUUUAAAGGGAGCGCAGGCGGCCUUUUAAGCGUGUUGUGAAAUGUAGUGGCUCAACCUCUGCACUGCAGCGCGAACUGGAGGGCUUGAGUACGCGGGAAGUAGGCGGAAUUCGUCGUGUAGCGGUGAAAUGCUUAGAUAUGACGAAGAACUCCGAUUGCGAAGGCAGCCUACUGUAGCGUUACUGACGCUAAAGCUCGAAAGUGUGGGUAUCGAACAGGAUUAGAUACCCUGGUA